UUUUUUUUUUUUUAAAUUUUUUUAAUUUUUUUAAUUUUUUUUUUUUUUUAAUGAAAAGGUAGGCUACACCCUUUAAGUAGCAUGGUAUGUAUUUCACUUUUUUAAUUACUUUGAUUAGUAAAGGAGAAAAAGAAGAAGAGAAAAUUGAAUUACUAUUCAUUAAGUAAUAUAAUUCAUGAAGUUAAUUAAAAUAUUUAAUCAUAAUCAGUCAUUAAAUAAAUAAACUAAUUAAAAUAUAAUUGCUAAUUCAACUAAUUAAAUCUCCAAAUAUAUUAUGCAGUUACUAAAAAUAAAAUUUUUAUAAAUUAAUUAACCUAAACAUCCUAAGUUUAUACUUAUUUUUUAAAAUUAAGACCUUUCCCGACGAACUUUCGUCGGCAAAGAUAUUUUCGUCGGGGGAAACCUAAUCCGGCAAAUUUUGUCGGCAUAGAUCUUUGCCGACGAAAUUUCGUCGGGAGAAGUGUUCAUGUGUUUUUUUUUUUUUUUGAAAAGUAUAAAGUUUAAAAAUAUGGAUAUGUUUAAACUAGCAAAUUAAUAUCUAUAAAGUACAAGCUAAUGCAACUUGGAGGGUCCUUCUUUCUUUUAUUUAUUUAUUAAAUACUAUAUUUACAUAGUAUAGCCGUGCGGCUGUACUGUAUUUUUCUUUUUUAAAAAUAGUCUAGCCGGGCGGCUAUACUUUUUGGGGACACGUGGCGCCUAAUCGCUGGAGGCUCCUUUUUUAAGACCAAAAAAUAGUACAGCCGCACGGCUAUACUCGGUGUUUUUUAAAAAGUCGACACGUGGCGCCUUUUUUUAUUAAAAAUAGUAUAGCCGCACGGCUAUACUCAGUUUUAUUUUUUUUUUUUAAAUUUUUUUUUUUUUUUUUUUUUUUUAAUGAAAAGGUAGGCUACACACUUUAAGUAGCAUGGUAUGUAUUUCACUUUUUUAAUUACUUUGAUUAGUAAAGGAGAAAAAGAAGAAGAGAAAAUUGAAUUACUAUUCAUUAAGUAAUAUAAUUCAUGAAGUUAAUUAAAAUAUUUAAUCAUAAUCAGUCAUUAAAUAAAUAAACUAAUUAAAAUAUAAUUGCUAAUUCAACUAAUUAAAUCUCCAAAUAUAUUAUGUAGUUACUAAAAAUAAAAUUUUUAUAAAUUAAUUAACCUAAACAUCCUAAGUUUAUACUUAUUUUUUAAAAUUAAGACCUUUCCCGACGAAAUUUCGUCGGCAAAGAUAUUUUCGUCGGGGGAAACCUAAUCCGGCAAAUUUUGUCGGCAUAGAUCUUUGCCGACGAAAUUUCGUCGGGAGAAGUGUUCAUGUGUUUUUUUUUUUUUUCAAAAGUAUAAAGUUUAAAAAUAUGGAUAUGUUUAAACUAGCAAAUUAAUAUCUAUAAAGUACAAGCUAAUGCAACUUGGAGGGUCCUUCUUUCUUUUAUUUAUUUAUUAAAUACUAUAUUUACAUAGUAUCGCCGUGCGGCUGUACUAUAUUUUUCUUUUUGAAAAAUAGUCUAGCCGGGCGGCUAUACUUUUUGGGGACACGUGGCGCCUAAUCGCUGGAGGCUCCUUUUUUAAGACCAAAAAAUAGUACAGCCGCACGGCUAUACUCGGUGUUUUUUAAAAAGUCGACACGUGGCGCCUUUUUAUAUUAAAAAUAGUAUAGCCGCACGGCUAUACUCAGUUUUUUUUUUUUUUUUUUAAUUUUUUUAAUUUUUUAAAUUUUUUUUUUUUUUUUUUAAUGAAAAGGUAGGCUACACCCUUUAAGUAGCAUGGUAUGUAUUUCACUUUUUUAAUUACUUUGAUUAGUAAAGGAGAAAAAGAAGAAGAGAAAAAUUGAAUUACUAUUCAUUAAGUAAUAUAAUUCAUGAAGUUAAUUAAAAUAUUUAAUCAUAAUCAGUCAUUAAAUAAAUAAACUAAUUAAAAUAUAAUUGCUAAUUCAACUAAUUAAAUCUCCAAAUAUAUUAUGUAGUUACUAAAAAUAAAAUUUUUAUAAAUUAAUUAACCUAAACAUCCUAAGUUUAUACUUAUUUUUUAAAAUUAAGACCUUUCCCGACGAAAUUUCGUCGGCAAAGAUAUUUUCGUCGGGGGAAACCUAAUCCGGCAAAUUUUGUCGGCAUAGAUCUUUGCCGACGAAAUUUCGUCGGGAGAAGUGUUCAUGUGUUUUUUUUUUUUUUCAAAAGUAUAAAGUUUAAAAAUAUGGAUAUGUUUAAACUAGCAAAUUAAUAUCUAUAAAGUACAAGCUAAUGCAACUUGGAGGGUCCUUCUUUCUUUUAUUUAUUUAUUAAAUACUAUAUUUACAUAGUAUAGCCGUGCGGCUGUACUAUAUUUUUCUUUUUGAAAAAUAGUCUAGCCGGGCGGCUAUACUUUUUGGGGACACGUGGCGCCUAAUCGCUGGAGGCUCCUUUUUAAGACCAAAAAAUAGUACAGCCGCACGGCUAUACUCGGUGUUUUUUAAAAAGUCGACACGUGGCGCCUUUUUUAUUAAAAACAGUAUAGCCGCACGGCUAUACUCAGUUUUUUUUUUUUUAAAAUUUUUUUUUUUUUUUUUUUUUUUUAAUGAAAAGGUAGGCUACACCCUUUAAGUAGCAUGGUAUGUAUUUCACUUUUUUAAUUACUUUGAUUAGUAAAGGAGAAAAAGAAGAAGAGAAAAUUGAAUUACUAUUCAUUAAGUAAUAUAAUUCAUGAAGUUAAUUAAAAUAUUUAAUCAUAAUCAGUCAUUAAAUAAAUAAACUAAUUAAAAUAUAAUUGCUAAUUCAACUAAUUAAAUCUCCAAAUAUAUUAUGUAGUUACUAAAAAUAAAAUUUUUAUAAAUUAAUUAACCUAAACAUCCUA
rnacentral:lncRNA from 1 species